GAGACCUUAACCUGCUAAAUAGCCCGUAUUGCUCUGGCAGUACGCCGGCUUCUUAGAGGGACUAUCGGCUCAAGCCGAUGGAAGUUUGAGGCAAUAACAGGUUGACACACAGGCCUGUAACAGUGGUCCUCGUUAAACAAACCGCUAGUCAAGCACCGUUCUCCGUUGGGGGAGUCCCCUUUUAUCGGGCGGAGAUGCGCUGAGGCGCAAGGUGCUGGCGACACCACCUGGUACAGGGAACGCCUCCUGGC
rnacentral:rRNA from 1 species